GAUCAUUACCAAAACAAUCGGGCGUUGCAAAAAUCCUCCCUUGGAGGUCACGCCACCGAUCACCCUUUGCCUACUACACCGCUCGUUAUUUCCUCGGCAGGCUCGCCUGCCGCCAGGAACCAUUCAAACCCUUGCAUACAAGUAUCUAAACCUCCGAUAACAACCCAAUUAUUUACAACUUUCAACAAUGGAUCUCUUGGUUCUGGCAUCGAUGAAGAACGCAGCGAAAUGCGAAAAGUAGUGUGAAUUGCAGAAUUCCGUGAAUCAUCGAAUCUUUGAACGCACAUUGCGCCCCUCGGUAUUCCGUGGGGCAUGCCUGUUCGAGCGUCAUUUACACCCUCAAGCUCAGCUUGGUGAUGGGCGUCUGUCCGCGUGGACUCGCCCCAAAGUCAUUGGCAGCGGUCGUGCCAGCUUCUCGCGCAGAGCAUUGCGCUCCUUGAAGCUGGUUGAUCGGCGUCCACCAAGCUCUACAUUAACUUGACCUCGGAUCAGGUAGGGAUACCCGCUGAACUUAAGCAUAUCAAUAAGCGGAGGAAAAGAAACCAACUGGGAUUGCCCUAGUAACGGCGAGUGAAGCGGCAAUAGCUCAAAUUUGAAAUCUGGCUCCUUUUAGGUGUCCGAGUUGUAAUUUGCAGAGGGUGCUUUGGCGUUGGUGGCGGUCUAAGUUCUUUGGAACAAGACAUCGCAGAGGGUGAGAAUCCCGUAUGUGGUCGCCUGCCUUCGCCGUGUAAAGCCCCUUCGACGAGUCGAGUUGUUUGGGAAUGCAGCUCUAAAUGGGAGGUAAAUUUCUUCUAAAGCUAAAUACUGGCCAGAGACCGAUAGCGCACAAGUAGAGUGAUCGAAAGAUGAAAAGCACUUUGGAAAGAGAGUCAAACAGCACGUGAAAUUGUUGAAAGGGAAGCGCUUGCAGCCAGACUUGCCCGCAGUUGCUCACCCAGGCUUUUGCCCGGGGCACUCUUCUGCGGGCAGGCCAGCAUCAGUUUGGGCGGUUGGAUAAAGGCCUCUGUCAUGUACCAACCUUCGGGUUGAACUUAUAGGGGAGGCGACAUGCAACCAGCCCGGACUGAGGACCGCGCU
rnacentral:rRNA from 1 species